rnacentral:misc_RNA from 1 species
GGCUACUCAAGGCCGCGUUACUCCCCACAAGUCCUUGGGGUACGAAUCCAGAAUGGCAGACAUCCUCUGAUGGAACUCUGUGCCCGAACCUUUGUGCCCAACUCCACAGAAUGUGGUGGGGACAAAGGGAGGGUCAAAGUCAUCACUGGACCCAACUCAUCAGGGAAGAGCAUAUACCUCAAACAGGUGGCGAAAGCAGUGAACAAUGCCACUGCACAGUCGCUGGUCCUUAUUGAUGAAUUUGGAAAGGGAACCAACACGGUGGAUGGGCUCGCGCUUCUGGCCGCUGUGCUCCGACACUGGCUGGCACGUGGACCCACAUGCCCCCACAUCUUUGUGGCCACCAACUUUCUGAGCCUUGUUCAGCUACAACUGCUGCCACAAGGGCCCCUGGUGCAGUAUUUGGAUUGGCC